rnacentral:tRNA from 1 species
CGCGGUGUACCCAAGCGGCCCAAGGGAGCGGACUCAUAACCCGCUAUUCGCAGGUUCGAAUCCUGCCAUCGCGUCGA